UAUUAAUAUUCUAAAUGUCAAAGUUUAUGAUUAUAUUUAUAAAUAAUCUUUGCUAAUUUUAUGUUGUCAUUAUGAAUCAGUUGAAAACAUUAAAAAAUUGAGGACUCUAGCACGUGGAUCAAUCAAGGAUAAAAAAAAUUUUUGAUAAAUAUUAAUAAAAAUAAAAAAAUUUUCUCGCUAUAAAUAUCAGAAAAUAUUAAUCUGAAGUUAGCUGAUGUAAUUUUUAACCCGCCUGUUGUUAAUUCAAUAAACUUGAAUUUUCAAAAAAAUAAACACUUGAAUAUACGCACAAUAAUAAAAAAAAAUUCGAGAAUCGAGAUUUAUUCGAUUCUCACAAGAUAAGAAAUCUUAUCUUGAUACAUUUUGACAGUUACAUAAAAAUCAAGUGUUAAACUGGAAUUUCUAAAUCUAAUUAAAAAAAAAUAACUAUUGGAGUUUAAAUAAUUAAUUUUAAUACUAUGAACAUUGUGAUAAUGGAUUGUGAUAUCGAUUGAUCGAACAUGGAACCAAUGUAUAAAAAAUUACACAUACAUAUCGGUAUAUUAUAGAUGUGCACAUACGUAAAGAGUAAGUUAAAGUAUUGGAAUCAUUGAAAUGGCAGGCAGGCAGGCAGUGAUUCUCAUAUUGUCACUUGAAUAUAUAUUAUGUAUUUAAUAGUUGUAUACACCUAUAUAUAUACAUAUUACAUGGUUACUGCUGAUGUAUACGCACUGUAGUAGAUACUGGUAAUAAUAUUAUUUUAUUUUAUUUAUUUAUCAGCUGUUAAAUAAACAAAAAUAAAUAUUACAAGUUUUUUAA